CAUUUAACAGCGUAUUUACAUCGUAUGUACACACCUCAAACAAAAUCGAAAUGGAAUGUGUUAUGUGUCACAAUCACAGCAAAAAAAAAAAACGUUUAGCCCGCCAAGGAUUUCGCGGAGAAGGGCGGCGGCGCGCGUCAGAAUCUGGGCGUCAGCAGGUUGAGCAGGGAGACCCUGGCGUUCACGAGCGCGCGGUACACCUCCUCGCAGCCUGCCUCGGCGGCGUCGACGCACUCCUCGAGCCCGCGCACCCUGCCCAUGGCCGCCUUCCGCUCCUCCUCCUCCUCCUCCGCGCCGCACGAGGAGUCGUCGAACGACACGGCCCGCCGCCGCCGGAGCAGGUCGGUCACCAGCCA
rnacentral:misc_RNA from 1 species